rnacentral:tRNA from 1 species
GGAAUUUAGCUCAGUGGUAGAGCGCUUGCCUAGGAAGCGCAAGGCCCUGGGUUCGAACCCCAGCUCCG